rnacentral:rRNA from 1 species
CCCUUAGAUGUUCUGGGCCGCACGCGCGCUACACUGAUGCAUUCAACAAGUUUUACCUUGGCCGAGAGGCCUGGGAAAUCUUUCAAAUAUGUAUCGUGAUAGGGAUAGAUUAUUGCAAUUAUUAAUCUUGAACGAGGAAUUCCUAGUAAAUGCAGAUCAUCAUUCUGCGUUGAUUACGUCCCUGCCCUUUGUACACACCGCCCGUCGCACCUACCGAUUGAAUGAUCCGGUGAAGCCUCGGGAUUGUGCCCAGAGAACUUUAUUGUGAUUUGGGCGUGAGAACUUGUCUAAACCUUAUCAUUUAGAGGAAGGUGAAGUCGUAACA